GCCUGGGUAGCUCAAUCGGUAGAGCGUGUGACUCUUAAUCUCAAGGUCGUGGGUUCGAGCCCCACCUCGGGCU
rfam:Pseudogymnoascus sp. 23342-1-I1 unplaced genomic scaffold scaffold_18, whole genome shotgun sequence.